rnacentral:rRNA from 1 species
AACGAACGCUGGCGGCGCGUCUUAAGCAUGCAAGUCGAGCGGCAAGGGCAGCAAUGCCCCUAGAGCGGCGGACUGGUGAGUAACACGUGGGUGAUCUACCUUUGGAUUGGGGAUAGCUUGUGGAAACACAGGAUAAUACCGAAUAAGCUUGUCGGGUUGCGGCCCGAUAAGGAAAGAUCCGUUUGGAUCGUCCGGAGAUGAGCCCGCGGCUGAUUAGCUUGUUGGCGGGGUAAUGGCCCACCAAGGCGAUGAUCAGUAGCCGGCCUGAGAGGGUGAACGGCCACAUUGGGACUGAGAUACGGCCCAGACUCCUACGGGAGGCAG